CCUACGGGAGGCAGCAGUGGGGAAUCUUGCGCAAUGGGCGAAAGCCUGACGCAGCCAUGCCGCGUGAAUGAUGAAGGUCUUAGGAUUGUAAAAUUCUUUCACCGGGGACGAUAAUGACGGUACCCGGAGAAGAAGCCCCGGCUAACUUCGUGCCAGCAGCCGCGGUAAUACGAAGGGGGCUAGCGUUGCUCGGAAUUACUGGGCGUAAAGGGAGCGUAGGCGGACAUUUAAGUCAGGGGUGAAAUCCCAGAGCUCAACUCUGGAACUGCCUUUGAUACUGGGUGUCUUGAGUGUGAUAGAGGUAUGUGGAACUCCGAGUGUAGAGGUGAAAUUCGUAGAUAUUCGGAAGAACACCAGUGGCGAAGGCGACAUACUGGAUCAUUACUGACGCUGAGGCUCGAAAGCGUGGGGAGCAAACAGGAUUAGAUACCCUGGUAGUCCACGCCGUAAACGAUGAUUGCUAGUUGUCGGGAUGUUUACAUCUCGGUGACGCAGCUACGACAUUAAGUACAACUACCGCCGUCGGGGAGGUACGGUCGGCGAAGAAUUAAAACUUAACAAAGGAAAGUUAGACGGCGUGAGACGUGCCGAACGGACGACGACGAGGGAGGUAGG
rnacentral:rRNA from 1 species